GUUCUGCCACUAGACGAGAACCCUCGGGGCACAUCCCAGGUGUUCUGCCACUAGACGAGAACCCUCGGGGCACAUCCCAGGUGUUCUGCCACUAGACGGGAACCCUCGGGGCACAGCCCAGGUGUUCUACUAGACGGGAACCCUUGGGGCACACCCCAGGUGUUCUGCCACUAGACGGGAACCCUCGGGGCACACCCCAGGUGUUCUACCACUAGACGAGAACCCUUGGGGCACAUCCCAGGUGUUCUGCCACUAGACGGGAACCC